rnacentral:rRNA from 1 species
GUUGAACGGCCACAUUGGGACUGAGACACGGCCCAAACUCCUACGGGAGGCAGCAGUAGGGAAUUUUCGGCAAUGGAGGAAACUCUGACCGAGCAACGCCGCGUGAACGAUGAAGUAUUUCGGUACGUAAAGUUCUUUUAUUAGGGAAGAAUAAAUGAUGGAAAAAUCAUUCUGACGGUACCUAAUGAAUAAGCCCCGGCUAACUAUGUGCCAGCAGCCGCGGUAAUACAUAGGGGGCAAGCGUUAUCCGGAAUUAUUGGGCGUAAAGGGUGCGUAGGCGGUUAAAUAAGUUUAUGGUCUAAGUGCAAUGCUUAACAUUGUGAUGCUAUAAAAACUGUUUAGCUAGAGUAAGAUAGAGGCAAGUGGAAUUCCAUGUGUAGUGGUAAAAUGCGUAAAUAUAUGGAGGAACACCAGUAGCGAAGGCGGCUUGCUGGGUCUUUACUGACGCUGAGGCACGAAAGCGUGGGGAGCAAACAGGAUUAGAUACCCUGGUAGUCCACGCCGUAAACGAUGAGUACUAAAUGUUGGGUAAAACCAGUGUUGAAGUUAACACAUUAAGUACUCCGCCUGAGUAGUACGUACGCAAGUAUGAAACUUAAAGGAAUUGACGGGACUCCGCACAAGCGGUGGAUCAUGUUGUUUAAUUCGAAGGUACCCGAAAAACCUCACCAGGUCUUGACAUGCUUCUGCAAAGCUGUAGAAACACAGUGGAGGUUAUCAGUUGCACAGGUGGUGCAUGGUUGUCGUCAGCUCGUGUCGUGAGAUGUUGGGUUAAGUCCCGCAACGAGCGCAACCCUUAUUGUUAGUUGCCAGCACGUAAUGGUGGGGACUUUAGCAAGACUGCCAGUGAUAAAUUGGAGGAAGGUGGGGACGACGUC